rnacentral:lncRNA from 1 species
ACAGGCGGGGGCGGCGGGGGGGUGACGGGGACGGUGCCACGGGGGGGCGGGCGGGUGGACGGACGGACAGAGGGAGCGGACGUGUCGGGUGGGCAGGCAGAGCACGGCGACAGCGGGCGGACGGACAGACGGACGGCGGGGGCGCACGGAGUGGCUGGGGGGGCGGCGUGUGUGUCAUGGCAGGACAGCCUGGACGUGCUGGACGGACAGACGGACAGGAGGAGGGACAGACGGAAAACGCACAAGGACAGCGGGGAGAUGGAGAGGCCGCGUGCUGGAUGGACGGACAGACGGACGAGGCACCAAUACCGGGCUCAGCGCCCACCCCAGGGUGCCCGCUCGCCCCGCUGACCCGGCAGGCUCGGAGCAGCGUGGGGCAGAGCGGGGGCACCGCACGGCCCCCACUUGGGGGUCCCGGCACGGGGACACAAUCCCCUGGGGCUGGGGGCUGCCCUGGUGCCGUGGGGCUGUGCCAGACCCCGCAGCCUGGGGACAGCUGGGGACCCUGCCCCGUGCCCGGCCACCCCUUGCACAAACACACACACACGUGUGUGGCUCUGGGUGUGCAAGCACCCAUGGGUGUGCGCGUGGGGCUGCGCACGGCUGUGCACGCGUGGCAGCAGCACGGCACACGCGUGUGCACACGUGUACAUCCCGUGUGCGUGCGCGUGCGCUCACCUUCGGAGGGGUCGAGGCGCCGCGCUCGCCGCCCGUGCUUGGAGUUGUUGUGCACGAACAUGUUGUCGGACACGGCCAGCACGUGGCCGUCCACGUUCACAGUCGUUGACACGACCACCUGCGGGACCCACCGUCAGCCCCACCGCCCCCUCCUGCCCCACGGGGGGGGGCGCAGCCGUGGGGCGCAUGGGGCUGGUGCCCGUCCCCGUGGGGACCCCGCAGGGCGCCCUGCCACGGGUACGGCACCCACCGGAGGGGUCCCGCGGUCACCUCUGGUGUCCCCUCUGCCUCUGGGCACGCCACCGUUGUCACGCCUGCCCCCCAGCCCCCCCAAAUGUGUGUGCCAACACCUACCACAUGUGUGCAUAGAGGUGGGGAGCCAAGGUGGGGGGG